UACGUAGGGGGCAAGCGUUGUCCGGAAUCACUGGGCGUAAAGCGCGCGCAGGCGGCGAUCUACGUCCGGGGUGAAAGCCCAGAGCUCAACUCUGGGACUGCCUUGGAUACGGGAUCGCUUGAGGAUCGGAGAGGCAAGGGGAAUUCCACGUGUAGCGGUGAAAUGCGUAGAGAUGUGGAGGAACACCUGUGGCGAAGGCGCCUUGCUGGCCGAUUGCUGACGCUGAGGCGCGAAAGCGUGGGGAGCAAACAGG
rnacentral:rRNA from 1 species